GACCAGUGGUUAAACAGCUUGUUUUUAGCCGAUUCUGAGGUUUCUAUAGUUCUGUCAAACAUGCUUAUCUUAUUACUUUCUGUAUUUUAUGAAAUCUUUAUAUUUUUAGAUAUGAAGUAUUUGACCGUCAGCAAGGAGAGAAUUGAACUGAAAAUUAUUUUUCGAGGAAGCACUGUUGCCCUGAAUGUUUUCAAGUGUAACUGCUGUACAAAGUGUACGCUAUGGAUCCAAAUAUUACACCACUGGCUAAAGCUCCCGGGAAAAUAGGAUCUGCCCGAGUCCUGGUUUGUUAAGGACGUGUUCGAAGAAGAAUUCGUUGAUGUCUCGGUCACCACCGAUGACGCUGUAGUUGUGGAAGUUCCUGCAUCACUAGCUGUAGAAGUAAGACUACUGGA